rnacentral:antisense_RNA from 1 species
ACGAAGCAAGGCAGUGACUAGAGUCCAGACAUCAGAACUAGUUCCAUGUUUUUUUUUUUUUCACUACCAGUCCCUAGGCCCCAAACCUCAGAUCCUGCUGUGUGACCAUUAAGCCCCUGACUGUUCUAGGCUCAACUUCCAACCCUUUCUGCAGGUCCUAUUACCUCUGCCUCAUCCUCCCAACAUCAUAACCAGAGUCUUCCUUCACAUUGUACUGCCCACCCCCUUACGUUCCCUGGCUCUCCCUUGGUUUUAUUACCUCCUUGCAGUCCAUUUUCAGAUCCUGUCCAUUGAUCUCCACCCGCACAAUGAUCACCUCAUAAUACCACUCCCGCCGGAUGGGUGUAUACCAGAGGCUGCCUGUGUACAGCGAGUGGUCGAUACCUCCAAUGAUCUAGGGAAAAAAAGAGGCAGGUACCCGUGUCCUGGCACAGAAGGAGAGUGAGUCCCUCAAGGACCAAGCAAUAAGAUCAGUGAUUUCUUGGGGUGGCAAGGUCUUCUACAGGCUACCCUUUUCAUCUUCCUGCUUCUAAACAAAUCACACCCAAAGUGAUUUCUAGUUUCUUAAAUGUGUCCAGAAGAAAAGACUUUCCAGGAUUUUUAAUUAUUUGUUUCAGAAUCAUACAGCCCUUGAUACAAAGUUAUUUAAAUCUAAACUGCCACAAUAAAUGUUGAAUGAAUGGUUGUUUAUAAGUUUUAUUUUCUCUGCUUAUUGGAGAACCAUUCACCAUUGUUCUAAUUAAUUAAUAAAUAGACAAACUUCUUAUA